rnacentral:misc_RNA from 1 species
AAAGUGCGAUAACUAGUGUGAAUUGCAGAAUUCUGUGAAUCAUCGAACUCUUGAACGCAUCCUGCGCCUUGAGGCUAUCCUCGAGGCACACUUGUUUGAGUGGCGACAAAUACUUCUCUAUCCAAAUUGAAAGCUUUAUGCUUUGUUUUUUGGGAUGAUGAUAGUGUUGAAUUCUUUUUGAACACAACUCUAUUGAAAAGUAUUGGCUGAACUUUGCUCUUUCAGUGUAAAGUUCCAUUAGGUUUGAGGAAUUUUAUAUUCCACUUUCUCCUUUUGGUCUUUUAUACAUUUUAUUGAAAGUCAACCUUCAGUUUCCAAAGGAACAAUCAAUUACAUAUAAUUCGCCCUCAAAUCAAGUGGGAAUACCCCCUGAAUUUAA